GGCUCGUUGGUCUAGGAGUAUGAUUUUCGCUUUGGGUGCGAAAGGUUCCGGGUUCAAAUCCCAGACGAGCCC
rnacentral:tRNA from 1 species